GUCAGGAUGGCCGAGCGGUCUAAGGCGCCAGACUCAAGGAUUAUACCUUACCCGUUAUACGGGCUUUUCUAGGGCUUUCUGGUCCUCUCUGAGGGCGUGGGUUCGAAUCCCACUUCUGACA
rfam:Dufourea novaeangliae contig1865, whole genome shotgun sequence.